rnacentral:lncRNA from 1 species
UGGAAUGAUUUUGGAAGGAUUCCCUCCUUUUCUAUUUCAUGGAAUAAUUUGAGGAGGGUUGAUAUUAGUUCUUCUUUAAAGGUUCGGUAGAACUUGACUGAGAAUCCAUCUGGUCCUGGGCUUUUAUUUGUUGGUAGGCUUUUGAUGACUUCCUCAAUCUCAUUACUCAAAAUUCAUCUGUUUAAAUUUUUUAUAUCCUCCUGGUUCAACAUGGGCAAGUCUCAUGUCUCUAGGAAUUUAUUGGUGUCUUCAAAUGUUUUAGAUCAUUGGAGUAUACAUUUUCAAAGUAGCUUCUGAUUAUCAUUUGUAUUUCAGUAAUGUCUGUGUUGAUAUUUCCAUUUUCAUCAUGGAUUUAGUAAUUUGAUUUUUUUCUCUUUCUCUCAGUUAGCUUGGCUAAGGGCUUAUCAAUUUUGUUCAUUUUUUCAAAGAAUUGACAUUUGAUUCAUUAAUUUUUUUGAAUUUUUUAAAAUCUCAAUUUCAUUGAUUUCUGCUCUAAUUUUAGUAUUUUCUGUCAUCUGCUGAUUUGAGUGUUGGUUGGUUUGUUUUCUACAGCCUUGAGAUGUAAUAUUAGAUUAUUUAUUUGGUAUCUUCUUAUUCUAUUAAUGUAUGAGCUCAAUGCUAUAAACUUUCCUCUUAGAAUUGUCUUUAUAGUGUCCCAUAGAUUUUGAUAUGUUUAUCAUUAUUCUCAUUUACCUCUAAGAAUUUUUUUUAUUUCAUCCCUGAUUUCUUCUACUAUCCAUUCAUCAUUCAAUAGUGAAUUAUUUAGUCUCCUGAUAUUGUAGUAAUUUUUAUUUUUUAUCUUAUCAUUGAUUUCUAAUUUCAUUCCAUUUUAUGAUCUGAUAGAAUGCAAGGUAUUGUAUCUAUUUUUGUAUUUACUGAGAGUUGCUUUGCAUUCUAAAACAUAGUCUAUUUUGGAAAAUAAUCCAUAUGCUACUGAUAAGAAAGUGUAUUCGGUCACUGAUGGAUGAGAUAUUCUAUAAAUAUCCAUUAAGUCUAAAUUAUUAAUUGUUUUUUUUUUAGUUCUGUGGUUUCUUUAUUUAGAUUUUGUUUAGAUGAUCUGUCUAGUGAUACAAGAGGCAUGAUAAAGUCACCCAAUAUUUUUGUGUUUUGGUCUAUUUGAUUUUUUGAUAUUGAGAAGUGUUUGUUUGAUGUAUGUAGAUGCUUAUUGUUUGGGGCAUAAAUACUUAAGACUGUUACUUGUUGUGUUAUGACUCCUUUAAGCAGUAUGAAAUGGCCUUCUUUUUCUCUUCUGAUUAACUUUGGCUUGAAGUCCACUAUGUCAGAUAUGAGAAUAGAAACACCUGCUUGUUACAAGA